AUGCAGUUAGUUCUUGGUACUUCAGGGAAACUGAUCUCCCAAAAAAAAUCAGGCUGCGGGACGACCCAGUACGCUAAACACCGUCUUGCAACCGAAACCUCUAACCACCAAAAUGCCUUGGGGAAAUGCGUGUGGACCCGCCACCUUUUCCAGCAGGCUGGAACUCAAGAAGAGCCCGACACCAAGUCUAAGUCAUUCCUUGACACUGUGGAGUCUGUGAUCAGGACCGGGAUCUUUUGCAAAAUUGAGUUUCUACCUGGUCUGCUGAAGUUUGGGCCGGCGCUGCGCUCAACUGCUGCUAACACUUCCCACUUCAUGGUUCAGUUUUCAAGUGUCCAAACUACGCCCGGCAUCUGUCUUCCUGUUGUCACAACUUUUUCAGAAGUGCAAAACUACGGCAAGGCUAACGGGAGAGCCUGGACCCGACAAAGACACGCACCUUUGUCCCCAGAGCCGACGCGGGCCGCAGACGUCCCCCCGCGGCGGUCCUCAUGCCGGUCCCCGGGCGGCGGCGCAGCUAGCGGUGGGCUCCCGAGCCGUGGCUCCCUGCGGGCGGGCGGCCCGCGCCUCGGACCAUGGCCAGGUCCCCGCGCCCAAGGGAGCCUGUUGUGCCGCGCCGCGCGCCGACCCAGGAGGAAGCGAAGAAAUGCCGACUCGACGUCCGCACAGCCACUCCGAGGACACCAAGGGGUCGGGGAAGCAGCCUCCGGGCGCCCCGGGAGAACUUGCAGCGCGGGACCACGCGCUCAGACGGCGCCUCCGAAAGCGGCCGUCGGGAGGAGCGCUCCAAAGAACACGGGCAGCAGGAGCAGACGGGCGCGGACACCAGGGCCUCCCGGUCUGCGGCCAAGAGGAGUAGCCGGGCACCGGAGCCCAGACCCGGCGGAAGCUGAGUUCCAGGCCGCGCUGAGCUCCGUCACCGCAGCUCACGGGCGCAGCGACGGGGCCGACCAGCGCCUCGGGCUCGGGAAUGGCCCCGGGGCCCGCGCAGGACCAACAGCCGCAACGGAAGCGCCGAGAGGGGAGGAGCGCAGAGUCCAAGGCCCGGGGGCGGGGCGGGCCGGGCCGCGAGGCCGGCUCCCUCUCGCGCUCAGCCGGUCGCACCGUCGCCGCCGCCGCCGCCACCUCAGACCGCGGACGCUUCGUUGUCACGAGCCGGAGGGAGGGGGAAGGAGCCGGGAGUCUCUGCGCUCCGGCGCGCGGAGACCGCGGCGCUCGCAUCACGUGCCGCUCGGCCGGCCAAUGAUCCCCGGCAGGCGCGGUGACGUCAGAGCAGCGGCGUGGCCGAUGACAGCCGGCCCCCAUCACGUGGUCGGACCCACUCCAAUGGGCGGCGCCGAGGCGACCUGCUUGUUCCCGGCGGCCCGUGCGUCGGUGGUGGUUGGGUGGUAA
rnacentral:lncRNA from 1 species